rnacentral:rRNA from 1 species
AUGGCGAUCGAUCAAUCCCUUAAGAGGAAGAGAGGGAGGCCAGCAGGAGGAGGAGGAGGUUCCCCGUCUGCCAACAAGAGCCAGCGAGAUAAGAUGGUCAUGGAGCAGAAGAUGGCGCUGGUGCAUCAAAGGCUCGCCUUGCUUGACAGCGAGAGCGACAAGGAUGCUGAUGUUGUGCCGACGGCCACAAUGGAUGAUAAGCUUGCUGCUGUUGUUGUUGAUCAACAGCCUGUUGUUAUUAAUUUCGGCGAUACAGAUGACGAGGAUGAAUAUGUUCCUUUGAGAAUUGUGCGGCCACGGAGGUUGGACAGUGAAAAAGAAAAGCUGCUUGAUGUUUCUCAAACACACAAUGCUCAGGGUACUGACACCGCUAAAAAGAAAAGAGGGAGGCUUGUCAAGGCCCAGAGCAACAUGGAGCAGAAGUUGAAAUUGUCAACGCCAAGGCUUGCCUUGGUUGAGAGCGGCUGCAGUAACAGCAGCAAGAGCGACAUAGAUGAAGAUCAUGUGCCGAUGGUAGCUGCCGUUAAUUGCAAAAAGACAUGUUCAAGCGUUCAGGGUAACUUUGGGUCUGCUAUGGAGAGAGCUGAGGAGGUACUGGUGAAGUUACCAGCCGAACAUCCUAGCUUUGUCAAGCAUAUGCUACAUUCACAUGUUGUUCAGGGUUUCUGGCUGGGUCUACCGUCUGGCUUCUGCAACAAACAUCUCCCAAAGCAGGACGCUACUAUUGUGCUAGAGGAUGAGGAUGGGCAUAAUUAUGAUGCAAAAUAUCUAGGUGCCAAGCAAGGACUUAGUGGUGGUUGGAGAGGUUUUGCGAUUAAUCAUGAUAUUAAGGUCGGAGAUGUUGUAGUCUUUCAACUUGUCAGGUCAGCAAAGUUUAAGGUGUAUAUAUUGAGAGCGAACAACUUCACUACAACUGAUGGAGCACUUGGUCUCCUGUGUUUGGAAGCAGGAAAGGAGAAUAUAUUGAAGGAAGAAGGUUCCAAUGAUGUCAAAUCAAAGGAGAAUCCAAAGGUUCAGAAUGAUAGCAGUAACCCAGCCAGUGAAUCAAUGAAAGAAGGCAUCAGAUUUUCAGACACAGCCAUCGAUUUCGAUGAUGUGAAAAAUUUCAGCAACUUCAACAUCAUCGUAGAUGGUCUGGUCAUCGACUGCAAGUUUCCUGACCACCUACGCAAGACAUACUACGAGCUGUGCUGUGCCCAGGAGUCGUUCCUUCACAAGGAUCUGCUUAAGCAGAUAAACCUCACACUCGCAGUGGGAGUGAUCAUGGAGACUACCAACAUCGCGGAGGGUAUCAGGGCCUGCGAGGCACGCGCUUCUUCCCACGAGGACUUUGUGGUCUGGAAGAAGACCUUGGAGGCCUUUGAGCUCCUGGGCAUGAAUGUCAAGUUCCUGCUCAAACGCAUCGAUGGUCUCCUCAGCCUUUCUGCUCGACCAAGAGACCCUGCUGAGCAUGAAGGGUACAAAGAGAUGAAACUGGAGCGGGCACAUGCCGGAGCGAAAAUGAAGGAGCUCGAGUCCAGGAUGUCAAGUGUGAAGGACACUCUGAAGAAGAUGGACGUGGAAAUGGAGGAGAUGCUGCGGCGGUUAGCAACCGCACCAUGGUAG